rnacentral:rRNA from 1 species
GAUGAACGCUGGCGGCGUGCCUAAUACAUGCAAGUCGAGCGAACAGAUAAGGAGCUUGCUCCUUUGACGUUAGCGGCGGACGGGUGAGUAACACGUGGGUAACCUAUCUAUAAGACUGGAAUAACUCCGGGAAACCGGGGCUAAUGCCGGAUAACAUGUUGAACCGCAUGGUUCUACAGUGAAAGGCGGCUUUGCUGUCACUUAUAGAUGGACCCGCGCCGUAUUAGCUAGUUGGUGAGGUAACGGCUCACCAAGGCAACGAUACGUAGCCGACCUGAGAGGGUGAUCGGCCACACUGGAACUGAGACACGGUCCAGACUCCUACGGGAGGCAGCAGUAGGGAAUCUUCCGCUAUGGGCGAAAGCCUGACGGAGCAACGCCGCGUGAGUGAUGAAGGUCUUCGGAUCGUAAAACUCUGUUAUUAGGGAAGAACAAAUGCGUAAGUAACUGUGCGCGUCUUGACGGUACCUAAUCAGAAAGCCACGGCUAACUACGUG